rnacentral:tRNA from 1 species
GGGGAUGUAGUUCAGUGGUAGAGCGUCCGCUUUGCAUGUGAAAGGUCCCUGGUUCGAUCCCCGGCAUCUCCA